rnacentral:rRNA from 1 species
UACGUAGGUGGCAAGCGUUGUCCGGAUUUACUGGGCGUAAAGAGCGCGCAGGCGGUCGUUCAAGUCGCGUGUGAAAGCCCCCGGCUCAACUGGGGAGGGUCACGCGAUACUGAUCGACUCGAAGGCAGGAGAGGGUAGGUGGAAUUCCCGGUGUAGUGGUGAAAUGCGCAGAUAUCAGGAGGAACACCGGUGGCGAAGGCGGGUCUCUGGGCCGAUACUGACGCUGAGGAGCGAAAGCGUGGGGAGCGAACAGG